rnacentral:misc_RNA from 1 species
UUAAGUUCAGCGGGUAUUCCUACCUGAUCCGAGGUCAACACUUAGGUAUAAUUAAGUACAAGACCACGCCCACGGAGUCGUCUUCGGUACAUGCUUAACGAGAAGCUCCUCGUACCGUGUCCCUCCGGGGCGCAUCAUUAUCUUUGAGAUGGAUAUUACUCUACCCGAUCUAACACCAAGCCAGAGCUUGAGGGGUGAUA